UGUGACCAAUCACGGAAAGUAGGGACACAAGUCGGUUCUGGGGCAUUUUGAGUUAUUCACAGAUUCUGAAAGUGUAGUCUCCAAGCUUUCCAACGAUGUGUAACACAUGGAAAUCUGAUAAUAUUUGGAGAAGUUGUGGCCAUUUGAAGGUAGGCACUCAAAAAAGCUCAAAAAGCAGAAAAUAGCCUUUAAAGAUUGUGCAGUUCUCACUACUGCGAGUGACAAUGGGGCUCAUUCACAUCUCAUUUAGAUAAGCCAUACCCCCUGCAUAGCAACGACAGACACAACGGGAAAAAUCGGACCGCAUACUAUUAAUAAUAAAGGAAAAUGUGCAUUGUAAAUGUCAGUAAUUUAUCUUUUUUGACUUUUAUAAAAAUGAUUUAGAGGCUGAAAUAUGUGAGUUUUAUCUUUUUAUAAAAAAUCUUUAAUCUUUCAAAUGUGCCCAUCAUUUUUAAUGUUAUUAUUUUAAUGUUUAUGUAAACAAAAAGUACAUAUUGAUGCUAAUUUUAUUUGUUAUUUGCUGGUUUUCUACAUAAAACUUGGUGAAUUGAUUUCAUUGUGUAGCAUUAGGACUUUUUUUAACAGGAUUCUGUGAUAACCGAUGAGCUAGCUAAUAACAAUAGGUAGAUAUGGGAAGGUAUAAACAAGGACUAAACAUUUUCUUACGUUUUCUUAGAAUGAACACAAGACGACAAACUUUGAUGUUUAUGGAAACUCACCCCAUAAGAAACAAAAGUAUUCUCGCAGAUCUCGAUGACUCCAAUAUAGGGCUGGGCAAUAUGGCCAAAAUUUCAUAUCCCGAUAACGAUAUACAUAACGAUAUAGCAAUUUUUCUGUUAAUUCCGUUUAUGAAUAUUCUAUAUAAAAUUGCAAUGUGGAAAUGCAGUUUGAAAUGACAUACAAAACAAAUAAAGGAAGUAUGGACUAAAUAUUUAUUUUAUUUAGAACCUUUUUUUCAAGCAAGACUGUUGGUCAUGUUAACACCUGACAUUAAAAUAUUUCAACCCGCUAUUAUCGACCGUGUAGAUAUGCUUGGCAACAGCAGAAGUGAUCUCCUUCCAUCUGUGCCACGGGUAAAAGCCUGUGGAGCCGUUCACUUAUUGAGUAUUUUGCGCGCUCAAGUUCGUUAUUUCCAAUGUAGGUGCGCGGUAUGCGCGGUCAUAAUGGAAGCGCGGUGCGUUUUUUCCAGGCGCGUCCGCACCGCAUCGAGUUAAAAACAUUUAAACCUUUUCAUCCGUUUUAGGCGUCCAUGCAACAGAAGUCGCCCCUCUUUUAGGUACAAGCUCCUCGGUUUGGGUUGGCUGGUCAUCUUGUUGCGUCUACUACCGUCUUCCUCCAUGUUUGUUUAUGUAUUGCAGCGUGCAUGGGCAGGCCGUUGCGUGAGGUGCAUCUUGACGUAAAAUUCUGCCGUAAACGCCUUAUCGUGGCGUAAACGAUAGAGCCUUAUAUAAAAUGAUAGACAUUUUCUAUCGUCCAGACGAUAUAUUUCGUCAUAUCGCCCAGCCAUACUCCAAUACAUUCUUCCUCAUCAUCAUCAUCUUCGCUAAGUUGUAGAUUAGGGAUAUUACAGUCUUAUUAUGCCGCUUUCAUCAUCGCUCAGAUCGUCUUCAGAAUCAGUGAGCACUUGUUUAUAAGCAUCCGGCUUGUCGAAGAAGCACUUCAAAACAUUUUCGGUGUAACGGUCACGGUUCAGCUCGUCUGCGUUCAUCUUUGCGGCGUACAUCUUCAUUGAAUUUUGAUAUCAGCUAGAGCUGGCCAGAGCGCUGCAUACUAAGUAGCCAUGCUUCCCUCGGAGGGCGGGGGCAAUAACUAAAGAAACAAAAGCCGGCUUAUUCAGUAUGGAAAUACAGACAGACAAUGAAACGCCCCUACUGCGUGCUAGAAUCUCCGACAAACAACCUGAUUUCAACCUCAAAAUGUACACUUUUAAAUAUACCAAUACUGCUUUUGCAAACACGGAGAGGCUUCUUUGUGAUAUCAACUAACAGAUUCUGCAAAAAAACGAAAAUCACCAAUUUUGAAAAAAAAAAACACUUCUUUCUCAUUUUGCUCGAAAGUUGUGCUGCCGACUUGUCACUGGUUUCCGUGACGGGUCACAUAUAUGCAAUGGUUAGGUGAUGUGACUUAGACAGCCCUCCCAUCCAAGCAUCGAACAGUGAGGGUAGGACUCAAAUGUGAGAUAUUCUGAAGCUAUAUUGAAGUAUUUGUGAAUGAUGGUCUCUCUUUUAGGAUGACAUGCCUGUCAGCCAUCUGCCUGACCCAGGCCUGGAUGAUGUGGAAAUUCAUCAAUUUCCAGCUGAAGAAGUGGAGAGAACAAUCUCAGAUCCAAGCCAGCAAGAAGAAAGCUGUCGGCCAGAAAAGCAGACCCAGCAAGAAGGACUCUCGGGGGGGUUCAGUCAAUGGAGUCGUGAAACCAGAUGACAAGACAUCACCAAGAGCAAGAAAAUCUAAAGCCUCGUAAGAGGAAACCGAGAGCAGGUGCCCAAAAUGUGAUGCUCUGUUUCCACUCUGAACUUUAGAAAAGAAACGGAUUUGAUAACCGCAAAAAGAACCACAGGAACAAACUAAAGAACUUAGUUGUACGGCAUGGUUCAGGUUUUAUUUGUCUCCUGUUUUUCCUGUCUGCAUCUUUAAAAUGAACUCUAGAUUUAUAAUCAAUCAUUAUAUCCAUAUGCUUGUGACUUUUAGCAAGACUGAGAUGUUUUCUGAGGGUUUUGUGAUUGACGUGAAGGGAAGAUGUUGCACUUGGCUUGACACUUGCUCAUUGAGUUGUGUGGUUUAAGUCCAGGAUCUGAUCGACAAAAAAGUCUCUGAAGCAUUUAUCCAGCCCUUAACACAAUUAAAUCCUAUUCACCGUGAUUUUUGCGCUUUCUGUGAAACACACGGUGUGGACCGAAGCGUUUGAGAAGUGUCCUUUGUUAACUGUUCACAUUUAGCCCCUCAGUCCUAUACGCUACUAUGAAGCUCAGUGACAAACCCCAGGAUGAAGAGGCUGAGGUGGCGAAGGACUGCUACACCAAUCGUUUUUACCUAGCUUUUAAAUGACCUGAGCUGUGUGAUUUUACAUUUUGAUAAUGAAUUUAGUGUCUCGUUUGCGUGUGAAUGUUGUUGUUCGAGGAUAAUCGUUUUAUAAUUUGUAUCGACAAUGUUUGAGGUGGAGCUGUUGUGUGUUGGUGUUGUGGUUGAGGUGAUUAGAUGAUGGCUCCACCUGCAGGCUUAGAUGGUCUAUUUCUGUAAGGAUUGAUAUCCAUUUUUGUAGAAGGGUUCAAAUGCUGACCCAGGACUAUUAAAGAGCCUAACUGGCCAGGUUUGGGAGAUGGUCCUCACUGCAUAACACAAGAUCCAGGGGGCGUGGUUGGAUCCAGAUCCAACUCCUCCCAACUUACAUAUACCUAAACCUACCCAUCUCCACCCCUAAAUUUACCAAUCUCCACCUUCCCAUCUCCACCUGUAAAUGCACUCAUCUCCACCCCUAAACUUACCAAUCUCCACCUUCCCAUCUCUUCCCCUAAACCUACCCAUCUCCACCCCUAAACUUACCAAUCUCCACCUACCCAUCUCUGCCCCUAAACCUACCCAUCUUCACCCCUAAAUUUAGCAAUCUCCACCUACCCAUCUCUGCCCCUAAACCUACCCAUCUUCACCCCUAAACUUACCAAUCUCCACCUACCCAUCUCUGCCCCUAAACCUACCCAUCUUCACCCCUAAAUUUACCAAUCUCCACCUACCCAUCUCUGCCCCUAAACCUACCCAUCUUCACCCCUAAAUUUAGCAAUCUCCACCUACCCAUCUCUGCCCCUAAACCUACCCAUCUUCACCCCUAAAUUUAGCAAUCUCCACCUACCCAUCUCUUCCCCUAAACCUACCCAUCUCCACCCCUAAAUUUAGCAAUCUCCACCUACCCAUCUCUUCCCCUAAACCUACCCAUCUCCACCCCUAAACUUACCAAUCUCCACCUACCCAUCUCUGCCCCUAAACCUACCCAUCUUCACCCCUAUAUUUAGCAAUCUCCACCUACCCAUCUCUGCCUCUAAACCUACCCAUCUUCAACCAUAAAUUUAGCAAUCUCCACCUACCCAUCUCUGCCCCUAAACCCACUCAUCUUCACCCUAAACUUACCAAUCUCCACCUACCCAUUUCCACCCCUAAACCACACAUCUCCACUCCUGAACCCACACAUAAACUAACCUUGAAUAAUGAGGUGAUUAUGUUUUUAUAUGGACCACUCAUCUCUACGCACCCAGCUCCGCCCCUAAACCUACCAGUCUUCACCCCCUAGAUGUGGAUCCAACCACACCUCCUGGGUCUUGUGUUCUGCAGUGAGGGGCUACUGAAGAUUGGGACCUUGGUGCUUAUCAUUGAUACUUUACGGUUAUCGAUAUAAUCCAUAACACAUAUCAAAGUAAUAACGCUUUUAGUUUCAGUUGCAAAAGCCUUGGAGCUUAUUAAAUAUUUUACUAUGACAUUGUGCAAGUGUGGAUUUUAUCUUCAACGCAAUGAAAGCCAGCCUUUUGUUUUAAAUUAUCAAAAAAUCUGAAGAGGUUUUAAGUGCAGGAGAAAGUUAAAAGUGCAUGUAUACUGAGCUAUAGAGAAGUUUAUGAAGCCCUGAAGCUCUGUUUUGAUGUGAAAAGUGUUGAAACAUCACUCUUUCAUCACUUUGUGGCCUUUUCCUUGCUUUUGAGUGAUCUGCUCUGUUAUCUGUUAACUGCGCUCGACCGUGUCUGUCAGCACGUAGUUUAUAUGAAACCAUACGAUUCUUUAAGUGUCCUUAAACUGACAACAGUAGAAGUUCUUUCUGGGUUUGAGCACCGUUGCUCUCUUUGCACCUGUGUUUAUUAGUGUGAUGAGAGAGUUUGAUAUUCUUUUCCCCAUUGAAAUGUCGUGAAAAUGCAUGUUGCGAAUUUUCAAAGAAUUGGUCAUUGAAGCAUUUGAUGCCUAAGGGCAGAAAUAAAACUGUAGGCAUGCAAUCAAAAGUGGCCGUCUGUUAAUCUUUUUUUUUUGUAGUGUGAAAGCAAGACUCAAACUGCCAGUUUGUUGUUUCAUUUAUUUUCUGAACCCUGUCUUAACACACAUUGUGUCGGAUCAUAUAGAUGCUGUGUACCAGUUGCCAAAUAAUAUGAAAGGGACUCGCUGCUCUCUCCCAGUUACUUUGGUAUUGUGUGUACAAGUUAGAAAUCAUACAGUACCUGCUUUUCGGAUUAAGUUUGUAGGUUAAGUGCCUAAAUCUGGCUGCAGAACUGGGUCCAAAUGGAGUCAAUGGUUUGCUUUUGUUCGGUGCAUUAGUGAAAGAGCCCAGAUUCAAAGAUUUCAUAGAAACUUCCCCCGUGGCCUUCAUAACACACAGAGAGGUUUGUUUGUGGUGCAGAGCUAAUUCUGGGAAUUUAAGUUGGUGCUGGUUCUUCUCUAACAGAUGUCUGGAGGACUUUAGAUUUGAUAAAUACUAAAAUCUCCCACCUUUACACAAAAAUGAUCUUGGUUUUGUUCUUGUUCCAAACCUCUGAUUAACAUCCAUUGCAAAGUAGAAUGCUUUUUUCUCCAUGAAAGAGUUUGUUUUUUGUUUUCCAUUUAGUUUUGUUUGCUGAAUGAUCUUUUAAAGGAAAAUAAUUCUCUAGAGUAAUUCACUACUGAAUAAUUUUUAAACUAUUUUUAUAGCGUUGAACUGUUGAAAGAUUACCAUUAUUUAGAGCAUAUAAAUAUUUUACUGCUUAUGGGUUUAUUAUUUUUAUACUGUGUGGGAGAAGCUUUCUACCAUUUCAGUUGGACUGCAAAUGAUAAAUACUUUUGUUGACUAAAUGUUGUGAAAAUAUUACUCUUUCCCUGAUUUGUCAGUGUUUUUAAUUUGGGAUAUGAACAAGUGUGCAAUCUGGUUUAUUUUUGAUUAGUGGGAUUGUAGUGGAUAAAAACACAAAGUGGCGGUGAGAAUAAACUUCACACGCUGUCAUUGUUCUGUCAUGUGAGAGAUUACUGAAUAACUGUGGUGUUUUCAUGUGGCUUAGUGGUUUUGAUUUUGUGUAUAUAAAUUUAAAUGGGGGAAAAAAUCUAAUUCACAAAAUACAUUUUUACAAUAUUGUUUGCAGUGAUCAGUCAUCAUCAUAAUUAUUCUGAUAUGUCACAUUAAAAGAUGCACCAAAGCCUUCUGGAAGAUCAGAUACACAGAAGCUCAAUUAUAUUUCACCCUGCUUUACAUGCCUGUAUGUUGACAUAUAUUGGUUUUUAAUAUAAAAUGUUAAUGUAUGUAUUUAUGCAAGUCUGUGUGAUGCUUUUUGUAUGUUUGUCCUAUUUGAUUAAAUCUUUUGCGUAACCCUA